rnacentral:rRNA from 1 species
UACGUAGGGUGCGAGCGUUGUCCGGAAUUAUUGGGCGUAAAGAGCUCGUAGGCGGUUUGUCGCGUCGGCCGUGAAAUCUCCACGCUUAACGUGGAGCGUGCGGUCGAUACGGGCAGACUUGAGUUCGGUAGGGGAGACUGGAAUUCCUGGUGUAGCGGUGAAAUGCGCAGAUAUCAGGAGGAACACCGGUGGCGAAGGCGGGUCUCUGGGCCGAUACUGACGCUGAGGAGCGAAAGCGUGGGGAGCGAACGGG